rnacentral:tRNA from 1 species
UCCCUGGUGGUCCAUGGUUAGGACUCAGUGCUUUCACUGCUGUGGUCCAUGUCCAGGUUCAAUUCCUGGUCAGGUAA